rnacentral:rRNA from 1 species
CCUACGGGGGGCAGCAGUAGGGAAUCUUCCGCAAUGGGCGAAAGCCUGACGGAGCAACGCCGCGUGAGUGAUGAAGGUCUUCGGAUCGUAAAACUCUGUUAUCAGGGAAGAACAAAUGUGUAAGUAACUGUGCACAUCUUGACGGUACCUGAUCAGAAAGCCACGGCUAACUACGUGCCAGCAGCCGCGGUAAUACGUAGGUGGCAAGCGUUAUCCGGAAUUAUUGGGCGUAAAGCGCGCGUAGGCGGUUUUUUAAGUCUGAUGUGAAAGCCCACGGCUCAACCGUGGAGGGUCAUUGGAAACUGGAAAACUUGAGUGCAGAAGAGGAAAGUGGAAUUCCAUGUGUAGCGGUGAAAUGCGCAGAGAUAUGGAGGAACACCAGUGGCGAAGGCGACUUUCUGGUCUGUAACUGACGCUGAUGUGCGAAAGCGUGGGGAUCAAACAGGAUUAGAUACCCGGGUAGUC